GGGAAUUUAGUUCAAUCGGCAGAACAUGCGCCUCAUAAGCGUACAGUUCCGGGUUCAAGUCCCGGGGUUCCCACCA
rnacentral:tRNA from 1 species